rnacentral:rRNA from 1 species
AUUGAACGCUGGCGGCAGGCCUAACACAUGCAAGUCGAACGAGUGGCGGACGGGUGAGUAAUGUCUGGGAAACUGCCUGAUGGAGGGGGAUAACUACUGGAAACGGUAGCUAAUAACGCAUACCAUCGGAUGAGCACAGAUGGGAUUAGCUAGUAGGUGGGGUAAAGGGUCACCUAGGCGACGAUCCAUAGCUGGUCUGAGAGGAUGACCAGCCACACUGGAACGGAGAGACGGCCCAUCCUCCUACGGGAGGCAGCAUUGGGGAAUAUUGCACAAUGGGCGCAAGCCUGAUGCCGGCAUGCCGCGUGUAUGAAGAGGGCCUUCGGGUUGUAAAGUACUUUCAGCGGGGAGGCGUUACCCGCAGAAGAAGCACCGGCUAACUCCGUGGCAGCAGCCGCGGUAAUAC